GCUUGUGUUGUUCAAUCAUCAGUAGAUUGAACGUUGCCUGGACACUAUUGUGUUUUCGAGGCUUUGCCUGUGCCUAGAAAUGGAAUUUUUCAUUUGACUAUUCCAUUUUUUUGAGGCUGUAGGCGUCCUGGCACAUAGCAAUAUGUGUUUCGAGGAGAAAUUUAAUGGUGCCUGCACAUUUGUGUUCGAGGCUUAAAAUGUAACAUGAAAUUAUAACCUAGUUUACGUAACUAAACAAUUAAAAGAAUGAGAAGUAAUUCGAAAUGCAAGUCUUCUAUAAAAAAUACUCAACAAAACAGCCCAAUUGGACGACAUAAGAAAACUAUUUUGUGGUCCUAACAUUGAAAGCACUUUCAAUCAGAUCGAGCGUUGUAGUGACAUUAUGAAUAUUGCCGGGAUGAUCUGAAUGCGGA